rnacentral:rRNA from 1 species
UGGGGAAUCUUGGACAAUGGGGGCAACCCUGAUCCAGCCAUGCCGCGUGAGUGAUGAAGGCCUUAGGGUCGUAAAGCUCUUUCGCCUGUGAAGAUAAUGACGGUAGCAGGUAAAGAAACCCCGGCUAACUCCGUGCCAGCAGCCGCGGUAAUACGGAGGGGGUUAGCGUUGUUCGGAAUUACUGGGCGUAAAGCGCACGUAGGCGGACCAGAAAGUUGGGGGUGAAAUCCCGGGGGCUCAACCCCGGAACUGCCUCCAAAACUAUUGGUCUAGAGUUCGAGAGAGGUGAGUGGAAUUCCAAGUGUAGAGGUGAAAUUCGUAGAUAUUUGGAGGAACACCAGUGGCGAAGGCGGCUCACUGGCUCGAUACUGACGCUGAGGUGCGAAAGUGUGGGGAGCAAACAGGAUUAGAUACCCUGGUAGUCCACACCGUAAAACGAUGAAUGCCAGUCGUCGGGUAGCAUGCUAUUCGGUGACACACCUAACGGAUUAAGCAUUCC